GAAAAACUACACUAUGUGUAGUCGGGUAUUUCUUUGUACGUCAUUAAGGAAUUUCCUGCUUUGCAAAGAAGAUAUCUCAGUUUAG
rnacentral:ncRNA from 1 species